rnacentral:rRNA from 1 species
UAAGGAAUAUUGGUCAAUGGACGCAAGUCUGAACCAGCCAUGCCGCGUGAAGGAUGAAGGUCCUCUGGAUUGUAAACUUCUUUUAUCUGGGACGAAAACGGGAUUUUUAUCUCAAUUGACGGUACCAGAGGAAUAAGCACCGGCUAACUCCGUGCCAGCAGCCGCGGUAAUACGGAGGGUGCGAGCGUUAUCCGGAUUUACUGGGUUUAAAGGGUGCGUAGGUGGGCUUAUAAGUCAGUGGUGAAAUCUCCGAGCUUAACUCGGAAACUGCCGUUGAUACUGUUUGUCUUGAAUAUUGUGGAGGUAAGCGGAAUAUGUCAUGUAGCGGUGAAAUGCUUAGAUAUGACAUAGAACACCAAUUGCGAAGGCAGCUUACUACACAAUCAUUGACGCUGAGGCACGAAAGCGUGGGGAUCAAACA